rnacentral:rRNA from 1 species
AUCUCAGGCCGUAUCAGCCUGAAGGCGCCCGAUCUCGUCUGAUCUCGGAAGCUAAGCAGGGUCGGGCCUGGUUAGGAUCUUGGAUG